GCAUCAUCACCAUUUCCCUGAAUAGUCUUUCGGGCGUUUUGGUAUGUUCGGAAGAUAACUUCCGAGCGAGAGUGUUAGAAUUAGCUAGCAAAUACUGAUUUCACCCCUUGGAAGUUUACUUUCGAGGGGUUAUUUUU
rfam:Bibersteinia trehalosi TSDA-ARS-TSMARC-192, complete genome.